GUUAAGACCACCUCCAGUGUCCAUCGAGCAGACAGCCACUAGAGGCACUUCCAGGUCCUUAGUGGACUUUUAGUCCAAUAAAUGAAGCUGGACGUCCUCAUGCUCUGCACGAGAAUAUCCAGCAUCAUCUAAAACCCCAUAGGAAAGCAUUGAGCAAUGCUUUCCUAUGGGGUAGUCCCAAUGCGAGCGUGGCACUUGGCUGGCAAAGGCCUGAUCAGGUAAGUGACAGAAAGGUUUUCAACCCUUCCAGUUCCACCAGGGAAGGUGGGUGAGUAAGGGAGGGAGGCACUAUAAGUCACUAUAUUUCUAGGAAAAUAAAUUUGUUUUCCAAGGACUAUAGUUUUCCUGUAAUAAUUUAACCAAUUUAAAUUAUUUUCACUUUGGGUGCUGUGCCAGGC